AAAAGAUGCUCAAAUGCUGACGGAAAACUGCGGGUGUUGCCGAGAGGAGAACGAACGGCACUGUCAGAAUGUGUAUAGAGAUCUUCUAAGGAGUUCUUUAGGGAACCCCAGGGAAGAAUCUUCCACUUGUCUGCCUCAGCAGACGUAAACACAGCUCCUGGCAUCUAGGGAGGAGGAAACUUCAUCUGGAGUGUUAACCUUCUGAACUGGACUUCGUUCUCAGGCUGGAGCAAUGGUGCAGUGUUGACACAUGCUGCUCUUCUAGAAGACCAAGGUUAGAUUCCCAGCACCCACGUGGCAGCUCACAACCAUCUGUAGCUCCUGUUCCAGGGGAUCCAGUGUCCUCCACAGUUGACAGAUUUCCAUGGACAUUUCCAAGGCCCUUUAGAAGGUACCUUCAGUAUGUGAGAUGAACUUCGUAUUUCAAAACCUGGACAGAAAUAAAUAUUUUGAAAUCCAUUACACACUAAAGUGGGGUUUUCCGGUAUAUUUCUUAAAAUGGAAGAAUUAGAUAUGUAUUAUGCCAUGCCCCUCCUGAAGCAUACUGACAUAGGUCACUUCUGAGGGAAGAAAUGUCUACCAAAUCAGUUGUUUGCAUUUCAUUGGAUCAGGACAUGAGGUGAAGGUUCCAUCUCAAAGAUCAGACUUGGCAUUCUACAAUCAGGAGCUCCCAGAUGUGUCAGCAAUGGAGCUUAAAAGCAAACAGGUAAUCGUUCCUCUUCAACAUUAGAAGGGUUCCCACAGAGCACCAUAGUCUUGGUAAAGAUUUACAUGCAACCCUAGAUGCUUGGGAUUCGUGGGAGAAUUCUCCACAGAUAGAGGAAGGCUGCCGAGAAGGCACACUCACCAAGGACAUAACCUGAAAAUUAUGCACAGCCAGCGGUGGGCUGACUUACCAAUGGACUGUCAACAUCAGGCUGAGAGGGAAGAUGAGGAGCCCACACCACUGGUUAAAACCCCUUCCUCAGAAAACUAGGGGAUAUAAGGAUCAAAGUUCUGUGUCCUUAAGAGAGGGGCAGGCAUUGAAUCCAAACAAAACAUUGUUCUCAGUGUUAUACAAUGGGCAGCUGUAAUACUCCCUACAAACGUAUUUUUCCAAGAUUUCCUGUGUGAGCUGACAAGAGCAGAGCCUAGAGGCCAAUGGCUAAGCUCUCUGUGACUGCUGUGGGGGGCUGAGGACACCUCAAAACCAGUACUCCACGGAGAAGGGAGACACUGUCACAACUCUGGUUCUUUUAAAGGUGGAAGAACAAUUCCUUUUUUGCUACCAACUAUAUCGAAGCUGCUCUGUCCUCUAUGGUUUUGUUCACAGUCAAAUCCUUUUUGGUUCAGAGUCAAAGGCCUAAAACAAAAAAAAAUCCCAUCUUCUGUGCUUUGAGAAGCCAGUUGUUCUGUCUUACAUUAGAAAUCUAGGGGCUUAAACCUCUGGAGAGCCUCUGCCUGGACACUUCAGAGUCCAAUUUCCAAUCAAGCCCACUGGACUUCACACUGUCUCACUCUAGUGUUUACAGCUGUGACUUUAAUGAAUUGCAGCUAGAGACGCUCAUAUGCUACAAGUUCCUGUGCUAAUGUGGUGCUUCUCCCUCUCAAAGACAGCCCAGGAAGACACUCCCUCUCUCCCCAGUGCCACAGGCUUCAGACUGAAGGAAACAGCCCGUCUUGCAAAAGAUGUCUCAGUUCGAAAAGGUGGACCACAGCGGGCAUGUACACAAACCGGUGCCAUAUGUGCACGAGACUGCCUUAUUUAUGCCUGGACCAGCUGUUCCCAUCACCCACAUUAUAUUCACAAUCAAUCAUAGUUUAGCUCUUAUUUCCUGAUGCGAUGCCAAUUUAAUAAAGAAAACCUGUGCUUCCCUUUCUUCUGCAUGACCAUGAAAGCUCUCACAACCAGAUAAGCUGUCUCCUCUCACAGAGAUUCCCCUCGGAAUUAAUUACUUUGCAAUCAAAGUAUUCCUGGGCUCAUCGUCCCUUUUAAAAUCAUCGUUGGCACUUCUUCCUAGCAGAUUAUCCCCCAUAAUGGAAUCAGAUUUUUUACUAUGAUGUCACGGAGACAACCAAAGCAAUAAAAUCACAUGGUAUGCCCAUUACAAGCUAACCUGGACGAUUGCUCCAUGCUGGUUUUCAAAUGGCACUGUUACCUAAUAUUAUAACUGUGUAACAAUAUCCUGCUGAGGAUUGAGUCUGAGAUUGAAAUAUGGACACAUGGGAUCAUGAAAUUCUGCCUUGAUUGGAACAUACGGCACCCAUGUUAGACAGAGGAGUCAUAAUUACUCAUUAAAAAAGUUAAUGCUGCAUAAA